rnacentral:miRNA from 10 species
UAUUAUGUUGGUGCAAAAGUAAUGGCUGUUUUUGUCAUUACUUUUAAUGGCAAAAACCACAAUUACUUUUGCACAAACCUAAAUA